CAAAGGCUUGGUCCUGACUUUACUGUCAGCUUUGGCUAUACUUAUACAUGCAAGUCUCGCACCCCCGUGAGAAUACCCACAGUUCUCUGCCCGAGAACAAGGAGCUGGUAUCAGGCACAUAAUCCUAUAGCCCAUGACACCUUGCUUAGCCACACCCUCAAGGGAAUUCAGCAGUAAUAAACAUUAAGCCCUAAGUGAAAGCUUGACUUAGUUAAAGCCAAGAGGGCCGGUAAAACUCGUGCCAGCCACCGCGGUUAUACGAGAGGCCCAAGUUGACAGGUACCGGCGUAAAGAGUGGUUAAGGGAAAAUAUAUAACUAAAGCCGAACACCUUCAGAGCUGUCAUACGUUCCCGAAGGCAUGAAGCCCCACCACGAAAGUGGCUUUACCCCCACCCGACCCCACGAAAGCUGUGAAACAAACUGGGAUUAGAGACCCCACUAUGCCCAGCCUUAAACUUUGAUAGCACUUCACACCCGCUAUCCGCCAGGGAACUACGAGCAUUAGCUUAAAACCCAAAGGACUUGGCGGUGCUUUAGACCCACCUAGAGGAGCCUGUUCUAGAACCGAUAAUCCCCGUUAAACCUCACCCUCUCUUGUCAUUCCCGCCUAUAUACCGCCGUCGUCAGCUUACCCUGUGAAGGCACCAUAGUAAGCAAAACUAGUAAAACCCAAAACGCCAGGUCGAGGUGUAGCAUAUGAGAGGGAAAGAAAUGGGCUACAUUCCCUAUUUUAGGGAACACGGAUAAUGCAAUGAAACGUACAUUAGAAGGAGGAUUUAGCAGUAAGCAAAAAACAGAGUGUUUUGCUGAAACUGGCCCUGAAGCGCGCACACACCGCCCGUCACUCUCCCCAAGCCGACUCUUUAAAAUACAUAAUACACUUUUAGGAACAAGGGGAGGCAAGUCGUAACAUGGUAAGUGUACCGGAAGAUGCACUUGGAAAAAU
rnacentral:ncRNA from 1 species